CGCCAGCCUUCCUGCUCGCCCGGUGACACCAUUGGACCCCAGGGAAUCCCCUCAGCACUCCCACAGGUAAGGAGGCUGGGGGGGAUUAAAUUUAUUUUUUUUAAAACGUGAGUGUGUGUGUGUGUUAGAGUGUGUGUGUUUGUUAGUGUUAGAGUGUGUGUGUUAGUGUGUGUGAUAGUGUGUGUCUGUUAGUGAGUGUUUUGUAAGUGAGUGUGUAUGUAUGUCUGUCACUGAGUGUGUGUCUGUUAGCUAGUGUGUAUGCGUCUGUUCAUGAGAGUGUGUGAGUCUUAAGCACUUACCUUUCUCCAGCGCCGGACUCGCUUGGCGCUGGGGAUCUCUCCGCCCCGAUCCGCCUCAGCUCCAAAUGCGCAUGCGUGGCAAGAGCCGCGUGCGCAUUCAAACCGCCCAUAGGAAAGCAUUACUCAAUGCUUUCCUAUGGACAUUCAGGGUCUUCUUACUGUGAUUUUCACAGUGAGAAUCGCGGAAGCUCCUCUAGCGGCUGUCAAUGAGAC